UCCCACCCACAACCACCACCCAUGACCAUCACAACUACCACCACCUAAACACUACCAAUGAAUCAGAUCCAAAAUUAUUACGAUCACUACCAAUCUCACCACCACCUCACGAGCACCAUCAACAUCAACACCACUACAGUCAUCGCCAAGAACUGCAAAUACAACCAACAAAAAUCACCCCCAAAAACUUCGGCUUCACUAAAUCGAAUAGUACAGCAUGGCAAGUCGCGCAAAAGCAUAGGUGCACCAAAUCCCACAACGUCACUCAUUGA
rnacentral:lncRNA from 1 species